rnacentral:rRNA from 1 species
GGUGAGUAAUGUCUGGGAAACUGCCUGAUGGAGGGGGAUAACUACUGGAAACGGUAGCUAAUACCGCAUAAUGUCGCAAGACCAAAGAGGGGGACCUUCGGGCCUCUUGCCAUCGGAUGUGCCCAGAUGGGAUUAGCUUGUUGGUGGGGUAACGGCUCACCAAGGCGACGAUCCCUAGCUGGUCUGAGAGGAUGACCAGCCACACUGGAACUGAGACACGGUCCAGACUCCUACGGGAGGCAGCAGUGGGGAAUAUUGCACAAUGGGCGCAAGCCUGAUGCAGCCAUGCCGCGUGUAUGAAGAAGGCCUUCGGGUUGUAAAGUACUUUCAGCGGGGAGGAAGGGAGUAAAGUUAAUACCUUUGCUCAUUGACGUUAUCCGCAGAAGAAGCACCGGCUAACUCCGUGCCAGCAGCCGCGGUAAUACGGAGGGUGCAAGCGUUAAUCGGAAUUACUGGGCGUAAAGCGCACGCAGGCGGUUUGUUAAGUCAGAUGUGAAAUCCCCGGGCUCAACCUGGGAACUGCAUCUGAUACUGGCAAGCUUGAGUCUCGUAGAGGGGGGUAGAAUUCCAGGUGUAGCGGUGAAAUGCGUAGAGAUCUGGAGGAAUACCGGUGGCGAAGGCGGCCCCCUGGACGAAGACUGACGCUCAGGUGCGAAAGCGUGGGGAGCAAACAGGAUUAGAUACCCUGGUAGUCCACGCCGUAAACGAUGUCGACUUGGAGGUUGUGCCCUUGAGGCGUGGCUUCCGGAGCUAACGCGUUAAGUCGACCGCCUGGGGAGUACGGCCGCAAGGUUAAAACUCAAAUGAAUUGACGGGGGCCCGCACAAGCGGUGGAGCAUGUGGUUUAAUUCGAUGCAACGCGAAGAACCUUACCUGGUCUUGACAUCCACGGAAGUUUUCAGAGAUGAGAAUGUGCCUUCGGGAACCGUGAGACAGGUGCUGCAUGGCUGUCGUCAGCUCGUGUUGUGAAAUGUUGGGUUAAGUCCCGCAACGAGCGCAACCCUUAUCCUUUGUUGCCAGCGGUCCGGCCGGGAACUCAAAGGAGACUGCCAGUGAUAAACUGGAGGAAGGUGGGGACGACGUCAAGUCAUCAUGGCCCUUACGACCAGGGCUACACACGUGCUACAAUGGCGCAUACAAAGAGAAGCGACCUCGCGAGAGCAAGCGGACCUCAUAAAGUGCGUCGUAGUCCGGAUUGGAGUCUGCAACUCGACUCCAUGAAGUCGGAAUCGCUAGUAAUCGUGGAUCAGAAUGCCACGGUGAAUACGUUCCCGGGCCUUGUACACACCGCCCGUCACACCAUGGGAGUGGGUUGCAAA